UUCUAUGGCCAUGCCAUCCUGAAGUUGCCUGAUCUCGUCUGAUCUUGGAAGCUAAAAGCAGGAUCGGGCCUGGUUAGUACUUGGAUGGGAGAUCACCUAGGAAAACCAGGUGCUGUAGGUG
rnacentral:rRNA from 1 species